CUGAUUUGCCUUGUUAUCUGCUGAAGUUAUCCUCUCUAAAGAGGUAGAAGAAACUUUUCAACAGUGGCAAAACAUAUGUCAUUAUAAUGAAUGGAGCCAGUCAUGCCUCCAUUGAUAGAUAUGGAGAGAUUUGGUAUGUUAUACAGUCCUGUAAGAGCCCCUGCAUCUAUUUUCCAGUCCAGCUCAUUGUGCUUGGCUCUCUACCAUGUCACAGCAGCAAAGAAAGGCUUGUAGACAACCCAAGAUCUACUUUGAGCUGUGAGACUUAAAAGAGAUUAUGUCUUCCAAAGGAGACCAUGACAGAGA